AGCGGCUUAAAUAAAACGAUGACCAAUGAGAUCUACUGCGAGAAACUUGAGCGACUUAAAUUAAACGAUGACAAAUGAGAUCUACUGCGCGAAAUUUGAGCGACUUAAAUAAAACGAUGACAAAUGAGAUCUACUGCGCGAAAUUUGAGCGGCUUAAAUAAAACGAUGACAAAUGAGAUCCACUGCGAGAAACUUGAGCGACUUAAAUAAAACGAUGACAAAUGAGAUCUACUGCGAGAAACUUGAGCGGCUUAAAUAAAAGGAUGACAAAUGAGAUCUACUGCGUGAAACUUGAGCGGCCUAAAUAAGACGAUGACAAAUGAGAUCUACUGCGAGAAAUUUGAACGGCUUAAAUAGAACGAUGACAAAUGAGAUCUACUGCAAGAAAUUUGAGCGGCUUAAAUAAAACGAUGACAAAUGAGAUCUACUGCGCGAAACUUGAGCGACUUAAAUAAAACGAUGACAAAUGAGAUCUACUGCGAGAAACUUGAGCGGCUUAAAUAAAACGAUGACAAAUGAGAUCUACUGCGAGGAACUUGAGCGGCUUAAUUCAUCGCUAGAUGAAAACUACAAUCUUUGGUUUCAAGACAAAAGGUUUUCUUCCACCAGAAUAAUGCUCGGCCAUAUACAGUGAGAUGACAUUCCAAAGGUUGGAGGAGUUUGAAUGAAAAACGAUGUCCUACCCACCAUAUUCACCGGACAACAGCAUAUCUGAUAAUCGGUAGACGAAUUUAGAACAGUAAUGGAGGUGUAUUUUUUCCAACGGACAAGUGAAUUAUGCAAGAGUGGCUUUGCAAGUGUACCAGAUAGUUGGAAGAGCACUGCAGAAAAUGAAGGCGCUGAAUUGAAUCAUCAUAUAGCCGCUAUCAUAAUGUAAAGAACAACUUUACCAGCAUACACCAACAACAGGACACUCAAAUAUGAUUAUCGAGACCGGGUUUGACUACUUCAACUGGCAUGACUGAUAAACUCCAUCGUGUAUAUGGCAGGAAUCACAGCAACACAUGGCGAAUGAACUGAAAAGUAGAAUCACUCCAGAUUAUACAACAUCGAGUUCAAAUGAAGCAAUGCCAAGAGCCACCGAAUGAUGGGAACACAAGGUGUGAUAAUAAACUUGCCUAGACAAUAUCUCCAAUAUAUGAAACUAUUUUCUUUAGUCAUUAUACAGUAAUCGCUUGUAAGUGUAUUGGACAAUAGAAAUUUUGAUGCAUUUCCCCAGAAAAUGACAAUUAUAUGAUCUUCAAGAGACACUCAAUUAAAUUAUCAUAUAGCUGCUACAGCAAUAUGAAGGGCACCUUCGCCAGUAAACACCUCCAAGAGCCCACACUCAAUUGUAAUCAUCGAUACCAAUCGUGCCUACUUAACGAGGCAUGACUGAACAAUUUCAUCGUAUAUCUGGCAGAAAUCACAGCAACGGUACACGAUGACCUGAAUGAAAUGUAGAAGUACGACUGGUUAUUCAAUGUUGAUUUCAAGUGAGGUUUUUCUCAGAGCAACGGACUGCUUGGUAACAAAAUGUAUGUUAUUAAAAGAAGAACAUUUUCGAAGUAAACACUUCCAAUAGCCUACGCUCAAUUGUGAUUAUCGAGGCCGAUCUAGCCUACUUAAUCAAACAUGACUGAUAAACUCCAUCGUAUAUCACAGAAACACUACAUGAUAACAAAUAUGAAAAGAAUUACGUUGGACUAUAUGAUAUCAUCACCAAAUGAUGCUGUCCACAGAGACUCCGCAGGCUUGGUGACACAAAUACUUGGGUAGACUACGUUUUCAGUGCAUUAAACAAUUAGAAACCUGUAACUCAAUAAUGUGUACGUUAUAUGGGUGUAUAAAUGUGUGUGUGUUUUUGCGUGUGUAUGUGUCUGCGUGUGCAUGUAUACGUUUCUUUGUGUGUGUGGGUAUUAAGCAAAAAAUCAUGUCCAUUUCCUUGUACACAAACAUAUAUGCAUACACACGCACACGGCGAAAAUCUUCGUUUUUGCUCUAGACGUUGAAAUUGGCACUGAACUAACAGUUGUGAACAAAAUUACGCACAAUUUACUUUUACAGUAAACUAAAGGAAACGGCUUUCCAAUGCCGAAAGAAAAAGAAUCAUAACAUUGCAAAAGCCAUUUAAAAAAAUCGUGAAUCUAUUUACGAAAAUGAAAUUUCUUUUAUGCCAA